rnacentral:lncRNA from 1 species
GACCUGAGAUUUUAGAUUUCUGGGAACGACCUCUGUGACAGGGUACAGAGAGUAUUACAGAGAACAACGAUGCACAAAACUAGUUUUGCAAUUGUGAACAUCCCCUAAUAUGUCCCGCAUCCCUCCUCUUCCGGACUGCACUCCGCUGGCAAAACUUCAUUCAUCCAGACUAGUGAUACCUAUUUCCAUGGCAGGCCGUCGGGGGGUUUUCUUCUGGUAUUCCAGUUAUCUUUCCCUCCCUCUCCCCUGAUAAUAAGAAAUCACCUUUAGGUGGUAACACUUUUCUGCCAAAACAACCAGCCGACGACCUGGCGGCGCAAGACAAGACUGCGGGACUGAGCAAAUAAAAGUAUGGCAAGAAGAAACAGACCAUAAAUGACAAACACAGCCUUCAGUGCAAACAUAUUGACCAUGCCAUCGCCAACAGUAACCUCCACUGGCAGGAGUUUACUUUGACCUGCCAGCUACUAGCUGGGUGGACGUUGACUGGCUAGCCAAUGUUCGCUCUUUUGUUCAAAACAUGUCUGUCAAGCUGUGUCAAGUUUGCACAAGCCAGCGAUUGUCUGAGAGACAUUUUCAGGAGACGGGGACCUGCAGCAACAAAGUGUAGAGGACUGACUGCGCAACACACGUUGCAUAAACCUUUGAAUAAGUGCAACAGCAAAGGUCGUUCUUAACUGAGCAAAGUGCCGAAGCGUCCAACCAAUAAAGUGUCCCCAUGGUUCAUUGUAUUGGUAGAUGUCAUGGCGAUGGACUGGCAAGCAAGUCCGGUUUCAGCAUGUUGACCAAAGUUCCAAAGUCCAGAACGUUUGGUUCAAAACCGUUGAUUUCCUGGCAAUAAUUACCUUUAAAAGUACAUAAUCACGUCUAUGAAGAAUAAUUAUGUGUGGCAGGUGGUUUCUCGUGCUGCUUUACGACACAGACACCAGUCAUUACCAGUGUAGUACAGAAGAGACAGAAUGUUGCUACAAAGACCCCACAGAAGCCUGUGAUGUUCAUUUUCUGUCUCUCCAGUCAGCGUGCGACUCCCUGCAGUUGCCGCAGCAUUGUGUGUAGACUAUUGAUGGUCAGCUUCAGAAUAAUGAAAUAAUGUGUUUGCCGUCAGUGUGCUGAUGUCGGUGCUAAGGCCUGUCGCCAAGAGUUCAAUCUGGGAGAUGUUCGGAAUCCUAUCAUUCCAAAGACUUCUGCAGUUUGGUUAAUUUCAUUGCCUUGCUUGGUACCCAUCGGCUAAACGUAUGCUUACUUGCUCGUGCGUGCGUGCGUGCGUGCGUAUGUGUGUGUGAGAGAGAGAGAACACAACGCAGUAGUCAUGGUGACUGUCAGCUUCUCCUAAGAGUAAGUAAUUUUCAACCUUUUUAUUUCCUGCUGAUAUUGCUUUGCUUUAACUGGUCAGUAUUUUAUUUCUAUCUUUCAGAAUGUUGCCGGUCCAUUGAAUGUGACAAUCCCUGACAAGUGCUCUUUUGGUCUUCAUCUGAGGAUGUUAGAGGAUUCACAAUUUUUAUUACAACAAAUGAACAAUUCACACUUACAGGAAGCACACAUGUUCUCAAGAUGACCUGCAGAAUCGGCAUCACGAGAGUCUACCCGGGGUACUUUAUGCACUGUCCUGGUCACUUUGGUGGGCAGUGACCAAAGGCCACGUGACAAAUGUAGUGUCCGGACCCACCCAGGCUCUAUUUCGUUUGUGUCCCUCGCAAUUUCCGGCGGAGUACUCGCGUUAUUAUAACAGAUGCCGGGUACUUUUGCUGAUGUCUGCACCAGAUAUCUCUGGGCAGAAUGACUUGACCACUGAGUGUCUGUGUUCCUCUGAACACAGGCCAAGCCAACUGUCUUCAAAUAUCCGUAGCUCAGACCUUUUCAAAAUAAAUUUUUGCAAUCGCUUUGGUCUACGAAAGAGAAUGUGCCUCUCGUUAAGCUCGAAAUGCUCUCACACUGUUUCCAGCUUACUUGGGUAUUCUUAUACUUGUUAUUUUAUAAGUAUUUUGAAGUGAGUAAACUUAAUUUGCUUUCGUCAGUUAGUUAAAAAUGCUAGCGUCUCUACGAUAAUUCAAAACUCAGAAAUUAUUGGUAAGAGUGAGAGUCUGAAUGUUUAGUUUACUGUGAACUUUAAGUGGUUCACUAUUUCUAGGGCACGGCAUGUGAAAGGCGUAGCUCAACUCCCUGCUAUUACAGCAAACCCCUCAAGGUUCCUCUUAGCAAAGUGUUUUCUGUUUAUUAAGACUGGCAUUUGGAAGAUAAUGCAGAAUAAUGUCUGUGUCGCAAAUGUAGCAAAAUCCUCAUUUCGAAAAUAAGAUGGACUUAUUGGUAAAUACAAAUCUUACUUAUAUCACUUACAAUCAACAAAGUACUAAGGUGAAGUCUCGCUAUGUCUCGUGUUACCUCAAGCCGAGGACGUGAACAGCAUCUUGGACGACAAGGAGCCGAUGAUAAAAAAGUCGCUGACCGCUGCACAUUCCAAGGCCACAAAAGCAGACAACAGACCGUCUGCCGUUGCUAUGGGAAUUACGGCAGGCAUCAUCUUUGCUCUCAUAGUGAUCGGGAUCGUGCUGCUGGACGCAGCCAAUCUGUGGCGUGACGUCAGCGGCAUGCUGCAGAACAUCGGCGUGUACUACCAACAUGGCGGUGUCGCACCUGAGGACAGGCCGCUGGGGGAGACUUCGACAAGGUCUUGAAAUCAGCGCUGAGCUACCUUCACCUCCUUCUUCUUCUACAAGAGGUCAGCGCGUGAAGAUGGGAGGAGGGGAUCAGAAGAGGAAGGGCGAGUUUACACACCAGCAUCCUACUCAAUGGGCUUAGGAUUAGAAAGAUAUUAAAAACUUUGUUCCCCUGAGAAACCCUAUUAUAUGAGUGCUAAUGCCUUUCUGGUAUCCUACAAUUACUCGGGUUUGUCUCUUUUACUUCGUAUCAUUUUUCAUUCUAUUUUUCUCCUGCUCAUCAAAUUCUCACCCACUCGCUCACGUACGCACGCACUUUAAAGACAUGCAUACUGUCUACAAAAGGAGACUUGUACAGUUACAUUACUGUUUUUUAUGUUGUGUAUUAGUGUAUUAGAUAUUAGUCUUUUUAUUAUCUAUAUUUAAUAAUCUUUUAAAAUAUGUGGAGAGAGAGAGAGAGGAUGGGUGGGUGCGAUGAAUGAAAAGAUGAAAACCUGCUUUCGCGCCGCACGUGAUGUCUGAUGAUAAUGACACUAAAUUAAUAUUAUGAUCAGUUUCAUCCUCUUACACUGUCAUCUUUCAAUGAGAAUAUCAUCGAAGAUGAUAUCCGCGUGUCAGUGUGCACCUUUUUACAAUGUUAGUAGGUCUGGAAUUACUUUGAUGAUCAUCAAUUAGAAGCUUUUAUUUCCUUUUAAGAAAGAAGCUAGUGUAGUUUUUGUAUGUUUACAAGCGCAGCAGCAGUCUGAGUUCUGCAUGGAAAUUUACUAUAUAUUGAUUGUAUGUGUACUUUAUGAAAAUAAUUAUAGUUUACUUAUUAAAUUUCGUAUUUUGUG